rnacentral:rRNA from 2 species
GGGUUGUGAGGUUAAGUGACUAAGCGUACACGGUGGAUGCCUAGGCAGUCAGAGGCGAUGAAGGGCGUGCUAAUCUGCGAAAAGCGUCGGUAAGGUGAUAUGAACCGUUACAACCGGCGAUACCCGAAUGGGGAAACCCAGUGUGUUUCGACACACUAUCAUGUCAUGAAUACAUAGUGGCAUGAGGCGAACCGGGGGAACUGAAACAUCUAAGUACCCCGAGGAAAAGAAAUCAACCGAGAUUCCCCCAGUAGCGGCGAGCGAACGGGGAGGAGCCCAGAACCUGAAUCGGCUUGUGUGUUAGUGGAAGCGUCUGGAAAGUCGCGCAGCAAAGGGUGAUAGCCCCGUACACUAAAAUGCACAGGUCGUGAGUUCGAUGAGUAGGGCGGGACACGUGACAUCCUGUCUGAAUAUGGGGGGACCAUCCUCCAAGGCUAAAUACUCCUGACUGACCGAUAGUGAACCAGUACCGUGAGGGAAAGGCGAAAAGAACCCCGGCGAGGGGAGUGAAAUAGAACCUGAAACCGUGUACGUACAAGCAGUGGGAGCACCUUCGUGGUGUGACUGCGUACCUUUUGUAUAAUGGGUCAGCGACUUAUAUUUUGUAGCAAGGUUAACCGUAUAGGGGAGCCGUAGGGAAACCGAGUCUUAACUGGGCGAAUAGUUGCAAGGUAUAGACCCGAAACCCGGUGAUCUAGCCAUGGGCAGGUUGAAGGUUGGGUAACACUAACUGGAGGACCGAACCGACUAAUGUUGAAAAAUUAGCGGAUGACUUGUGGCUGGGGGUGAAAGGCCAAUCAAACCGGGAGAUAGCUGGUUCUCCCCGAAAGCUAUUUAGGUAGCGCCUCGUGAACUCAUCUUCGGGGGUAGAGCACUGUUUCGGCUAGGGGGCCAUCCCGGCUUACCAAACCGAUGCAAACUCCGAAUACCGAAGAAUGUUAUCACGGGAGACACACGGCGGGUGCUAACGUCCGUCGUGAAGAGGGAAACAACCCAGACCGCCAGCUAAGGUCCCAAAGUCAUGGUUAAGUGGGAAACGAUGUGGGAAGGCAUAGACAGCCAGGAUGUUGGCUUAGAAGCAGCCAUCAUUUAAAGAAAGCGUAAUAGCUCACUGGUCGAGUCGGCCUGCGCGGAAGAUGUAACGGGGCUAAACCAUGCACCGAAGCUGCGGCAGCGACGCUUAGGCGUUGUUGGGUAGGGGAGCGUUCUGUAAGCCGUUGAAGGUGGCCUGUGAGGGUUGCUGGAGGUAUCAGAAGUGCGAAUGCUGACAUAAGUAACGAUAAAGCGGGUGAAAAGCCCGCUCGCCGGAAGACCAAGGGUUCCUGUCCAACGUUAAUCGGGGCAGGGUGAGUCGACCCCUAAGGCGAGGCUGAAAAGCGUAGUCGAUGGGAAACAGGUUAAUAUUCCUGUACUUGGUGUUACUGCGAAGGGGGGACGGAGAAGGCUAGGCUAGCCGGGCGACGGUUGUCCCGGUUUAAGCGUGUAGGGGGUGUGACCUGGUAAAUCCGGUUACAUAUCAACCCUGAGGCGUGAUGACGAUGCACUACGGUGCAGAAGUAGUUGAUGCCCUGCUUCCAGGAAAAGCCUCUAAGCUCCAGGUAACAUUGAAUCGUACCCCAAACCGACACAGGUGGUCAGGUAGAGAAUACCAAGGCGCUUGAGAGAACUCGGGUGAAGGAACUAGGCAAAAUGGUGCCGUAACUUCGGGAGAAGGCACGCUGGCAUGUAGGUGAAGUCCCUUGCGGAUGGAGCUGAAGCCAGUCGAAGAUACCAGCUGGCUGCAACUGUUUAAUAAAAACACAGCACUGUGCAAACACGAAAGUGGACGUAUACGGUGUGACGCCUGCCCGGUGCUGGAAGGUUAAUUGAUGGGGUCAGCCGCAAGGCGAAGCUCUUGAUCGAAGCCCCAGUAAACGGCGGCCGUAACUAUAACGGUCCUAAGGUAGCGAAAUUCCUUGUCGGGUAAGUUCCGACCUGCACGAAUGGCGUAAUGAUGGCCAGGCUGUCUCCACCCGAGACUCAGUGAAAUUGAACUCGCUGUGAAGAUGCAGUGUACCCGCGGCAAGACGGAAAGACCCCGUGAACCUUUACUAUAGCUUGACACUGAACAUUGAGCCUUGAUGUGUAGGAUAGGUGGGAGGCUUUGAAGCGUGGACGCCAGUCUGCGUGGAGCCAUCCUUGAAAUACCACCCUUUAAUGUUUGAUGUUCUAACUCGGCCCCAUAAUCUGGGGUGAGGACAGUGUCUGGUGGGUAGUUUGACUGGGGCGGUCUCCUCCCAAAGAGUAACGGAGGAGCACGAAGGUUAGCUAAUCACGGUCGGACAUCGUGAGGUUAGUGCAAAGGCAUAAGCUAGCUUGACUGCGAGAGUGACGGCUCGAGCAGGUACGAAAGUAGGUCUUAGUGAUCCGGUGGUUCUGAAUGGAAGGGCCAUCGCUCAACGGAUAAAAGGUACUCCGGGGAUAACAGGCUGAUACCGCCCAAGAGUUCAUAUCGACGGCGGUGUUUGGCACCUCGAUGUCGGCUCAUCACAUCCUGGGGCUGAAGUAGGUCCCAAGGGUAUGGCUGUUCGCCAUUUAAAGUGGUACGCGAGCUGGGUUUAGAACGUCGUGAGACAGUUCGGUCCCUAUCUGCCGUGGGCGUUGGAAGAUUGAGAGGGGUUGCUCCUAGUACGAGAGGACCGGAGUGAACGCACCACUGGUGUUCGGGUUGUCAUGCCAAUGGCAUUGCCCGGUAGCUAAGUGCGGAAAAGAUAAGCGCUGAAAGCAUCUAAGCGCGAAACUUGCCUCAAGAUGAGUCUUCCCUGGACCUUUAAGGUCCCUGAAGGAACGUUUAAGACUAAGACGUUGAUAGGCUGGGUGUGUAAGUGCAGCGAUGCAUUGAGCUAACCAGUACUAAUGAUCCGUGAGGCUUAACCUUACAACACCGAAGGUGUUU